CGUACACUCCUACGGGAGGCAGCAGUGGGGAAUAUUGGACAAUGGGCGCAAGCCUGAUCCAGCCAUGCCGCGUGAGUGAUGAAGGCCCUAGGGUUGUAAAGCUCUUUCACCGGAGAAGAUAAUGACGGUAUCCGGAGAAGAAGCCCCGGCUAACUUCGUGCCAGCAGCCGCGGUAAUACGAAGGGGGCUAGCGUUGUUCGGAAUUACUGGGCGUAAAGCGCACGUAGGCGGAUCGAUCAGUCAGGGGUGAAAUCCCAGGGCUCAACCCUGGAACUGCCUUUGAUACUGUCGAUCUGGAGUAUGGAAGAGGUGAGUGGAAUUCCGAGUGUAGAGGUGAAAUUCGUAGAUAUUCGGAGGAACACCAGUGGCGAAGGCGGCUCACUGGUCCAUUACUGACGCUGAGGUGCGAAAGCGUGGGGAGCAAACAGGAUUAGAAACCCGGGUAGUCCCAUGA
rnacentral:rRNA from 1 species